UACGUAGGGGGCAAGCGUUGUCCGGAAUCAUUGGGCGUAAAGAGCGUGUAGGCGGUUCGGUAAGUCGGCUGUGAAAGUCCAGGGCUCAACCCUGGGAUGCCGGUCGAUACUGCCGGACUAGAGUUCGGAAGAGGCGAGUGGAAUUCCCGGUGUAGCGGUGAAAUGCGCAGAUAUCGGGAGGAACACCUAUGGCGAAGGCAGCUCGCUGGGACGUUACUGACGCUGAGAACGCGAAAGCGUGGGGAGCAAACAGG
rnacentral:rRNA from 1 species